rnacentral:misc_RNA from 1 species
CCGAGUUGACAAGACUCCCUAAACCCUGUGAACAUACCUUUAUGUUGCCUCGGCGGAGCAGGCCCGCGCCCCCGGCAAACGGGACGGCCCGCCGGCAGGAACCCUAAACUCUGAUUUAGUGGAACUUCUGAGUAUAUACUAAAUAAGUCA